UACGUAGGGUGCGAGCGUUAAUCGGAAUACUGGGCGUAAAGCGUGCGCAGGCGGUGAUGUAAGACCGAUGUGAAAUCCCCGGGCUUAACCUGGGAACUGCAUUUGGUGACUGCAUUGCUGGAGUAUGGCAGAGGGGGGUGGAAUUCCACGUGUAGCAGUGAAAUGCGUAGAGAUCAGCAGGAACACCCGUGGCGAAGGCGGCCCCCUGGGCCGAUAAAAAGUCCUGUCAAGGGAAACCUUGGCUGGUACCUGACGCUGAGCGCGAAGGCUAGGGGAGCGAACAGG
rnacentral:rRNA from 1 species